AAAAAGGGCUUCUGCUAUGUUUGGCACAGGAGGGGUGGGGAAAUCCACUCUUCCUGCGGAAUCGCCAUCAAGAGAUUUCGGAAGCACAAUUUUUAAACCAGGGGCUGCUAGUGAUCACUUGUCCUGGCGCCCCG
rnacentral:snRNA from 1 species